rnacentral:rRNA from 1 species
ACAGCAGUAGCCGCGGUAAUACGAAGGGUGCAAGCGUUAAUCGGAAUUACUGGGCGUAAAGCGUGCGUAGGCGGUUUGUUAAGUCUGCUGUGAAAUCCCCGGGCUCAACCUGGGAAUGGCAAUGGAAACUGGACGGCUAGAGUGUGUCAGAGGAUGGUGGAAUUCCCGGUGUAGCGGUGAAAUGCGUAGAGAUCGGGAGGAACAUCAGUAGCGGAGGCGGCCAUCUGGGACAACACUGACGCUGAAGCACGAAAGCGUGGGGAGCAAACAGGAUUAGAUACCCCCGUAGUCCCUGUCUCUUAUAA